GGUUGGUCUGAGUGCAGUGGUGUUUACAACUAAUUGAUCACAACCAGUUAUAGAUUCCUUUGUUCCUUCUCCACUCCCACUGCUUCACUUGACCAGCAGUUA
rnacentral:Y_RNA from 1 species